CCUGCUGGGAAGCUGAGCAUGAGCAGGGUCCGCAGCUGCGCAGAGAAAGAAAUGGAGGGUCCUAAACUGACAAGGUCGGCCUCUCUUCGGGGUGAAAGCAUUGGCAGGAGUUUAUCACAGGAAGAACACGGGAGAAGUGAAGUAAUCCAGGGGAGGAUGUGAGGAGACACAGCUAUCAAGUAUGUGCCAUCCUACAGGAUAAGUUCAUCUGUCUGCUGGGUAUCCUUCAACAACGUAAAUGCUGCUCCUAUCCUACAGUGGCAUGGACUGUGGACACAGAUGGCCAUACCUCAGAGAUGGAGUGAAUCUUCGUCAGUCGAAGGAUGGAGGCAGAGACAGAGACCCUCAUCAGAGCAACGGACUGAGCUCCCAAGGUCCAGUUGAAGAGCAGAAAGAGGGAGAAGUCAGGACCUUGGAGGGGUGUCUCACUGGGACCCACAUCUCACAGAUUAGACUGAUUUACCAGCUGAGGAACAUGAGGGUUUCUCUGCAGCUUUGGAGUCUAUCCUGGAACUAGCUCUUGUAGAUCAGGCUGGCCUUGAACUCACAGAGAUCCACCUGCCUCUGCCUCCUGAGUGCUGGGAUUAAAGAUGUGUCUUUGAGUACCUGCCUGGUGUCUUCAGAGGUCAGAAAAUGGUGUGAGAUCUCUUGGACCUGGGGUUAUAGAUAUUUAAAACAACUGGACAAGCUCUCUGCUUCUUGCCCGUGGAUACGAUGAGAUCAGCUGCCUCAAGCCCUUGCCUGCCACUUGAAUCAUCGCAAUUCUACAUGGAACUAAACUCCAAACCAUCAUAGAAGCCCAAAGGGACCUGACCAACUGAGCCUUCAGGAAAACAUGCUUAGUGAAUCUCAAUCUAUUUUCCCCAGCAGAGACACAAACCAGAAGAGGCCACCAGAACUCACUACAGAUGGUUGUGAGCCACCAUGUGGUUGCUGGGAGUUGAACUCAGGACCUUUGGAAGAGCAGGCAAUGCUCUUAACCGCUGAGCCAUCUCUCCAGCCCCGGUUGGACUUUAUUUCCAUUUCCCCUGGUUGGUGCUGAGAUUUUUUGCCAGAUCCAUGAGGCUGGAAGGGAGAUGGCUGAUGAUGAGAUCUCAUGCAGGAUGAAGUGCUCCCAAGUCUCAUCUCUGUAUAUUGUCCCAUUGCGAGUCUCUGGGCUAUUUCUUAUCUACCACAAGAAGAAGCUCCUCUGAUGAGAGUUAAGUGAUACACUGAUUUAUGUGCUCUAUGGGUCUAGCAAUAUUCCAUUUGGAAUCAUUUUACUGUUUUGUUCCUUUUGCAGGAUAAUAGUGGUUUCCCCCAAGGUCCAUAUCUUUCUAUUCUGAGGUUCUUGUAACAUAUUAACAGUGUCAGGUAUGGGGUUUGUUCUAUGAAGUGGGCUAGAAGUCCAAUCGAAGAGGGGGGGCGAUUACUCCAAUAAUAUUGGUGCCACUAUUACACCUGUAUAUUGUGCAGGCAUGUCACGAUUGAAGGUUGCAAAGUUUAUUACUGAGUGAUAAUGGUUAUUUGUUUGUUCCUCCCCCAACAUACAGAGUACCUUCCAGCACUAUGAACAUUAAGGAUAAAGCUUCUAGUUGGGUAUCAGCCCAAUUUCUCCAUGUUUGAUGACAGAAGGUCUCACCAUGCUGCUCAUGAUAAUCUCAGACUCAGGCACAGAGGAGGGACUUCUCGCCUGUCUCCUGUGUAUCUUUCACUGAGGAUACAAACCACACAGCAAGCUGGUGGUAUUGUAAUAGAAUGUCGACCUACUGUUCUUUUUCUUGAAUAAUUUGCCUGAGAUCAACAUUCAGUCAAUGAUCGGUGAAGCAGCAUCCACCUGAAUCUUCUCCUUUAUAACCACUGGGAAAGUACUGAGCCUUGUCAGAGUCCUAGGAAUCUUGCAUAUUUCUGAUACUGUGUCUGACUGCUGCUUGGUGAGGUAGUAGUUCAAGCCAUAAAGCCGUGCUCCUCUUCCCAUCCUGAGAAGCUCACAAUGGAGACCAUUACACUUAUCAUAUGGCUUUCUCUUCCCUCGUCUGCAAUGGUCACUGAGCCUUGGGAGGAGGACUGUGUGAUACAGAUGCCCCAUGUUCAACAUGUUCAGCAAACUCAGUCACUCAUUCUCUGCACCCUGAUCGGUUGUAGGCUUCUGAAUUAAUUGCUUUUUACUGCAAAGAGAAGCUCCUCUGCCAAGUGUUCAAGGCACAGAAAUAGCAGCCAGGAAUGUUGCGUAUUUCUGAUACUGUGUCGGGAGGUAGUAGUUCAAGCCAUAAAGCUGUGCUUCCGCUUCCCAUCCUGAGAAGCUCACACCGGAGACCAUUACUCUUAGUCUAUGGCAUGUGGACCUGCUUUAUCAGGGUUUUGAUGAGUUUGAUACCAAACAGAAACAAAGAGUGACUUUGAAAAUGUCAUUUUAUUUGAGAACGUGGGAAGAGGAUGCAGAGCCUGGGCUUUCAAGAGCAGUCAGGAAAUUUUCAUUUCUCCAGCAUCCUGUGACAAGGAAGGAGCCUAUGGAACACCAAUGAAGCCUCAUCUACCAGAAAGGGCGUAAAGGUUUGUCUGUGUAACAGCCUUAGUUGUUCUGGAACUAGCUUGGAAGACCAGACUGACCUCAAACUCAGAGAUUGUCCUGCUUCUUCCUCCCAAGUGCUGGGACUAAAGGGCUUACAGAACUGCUCCUGAUAACCACAGACGCAGGCACGGAGGAAGUAUUUCUUCCCAACUUUGGAGAAGGUUUCAUGAAAGAGAAAUUCAUCACACCUAGAUGGUGAAUCUGAUUGUGCUGCUCAGUGAGGUUCCAACUCAAGUCGUAGAGCCAAGCUUCCACUCUGCAUCCCGAGCUGACACUGGAGGAGAAUAUUUCCCUGAAACUUCUUUGAGGAAACCUUCCAGGAUAAUGUGUGAUGGACAUGGCAAGGAUGAAUGUUCCUGGUUACUAUUCAACAUGCAGAAGUGCUGUCCUUAAUGGCUCUGCACAGGUAUUCGCAUGGUAAAUUUUCGUGAGCAGUCAGGAAAGGAAACAAACAACAAGAUGACUUGAAAUGGGAUACAGAUUUGCUGAGCCUUCAUUACUCUUUCAACUGGAUCAUGAAACAAGUUGGAUUUUUUUUUUUGUGGGAUGAUGGAUAAUACAGAUACAUGAUCUCAUUAUCCUGUUCAACAUGAUCUUAGACUCAGGCACUGAAAAGGUUCUUCUCUGCCUUCUUCUGAGAAGCUUUUGGUGAAGCCAAGACCACACCUAGCUGAUGGAAUGCUGGGAAGAGUGUGAUGUGCAGAACCUGGGCUUGCAAAGCAGUCAGGUACAUAUUGUUUCUACUGUGUGUCAAAUACAUUUGUUUAUUCUUUCCUGUCUGGACACUCCAGUAUUUGAGAUGAAGCAAGAGUCUGGAUCUCCUGCCCAGUGUUCUGUUCUAAUGCCAUCAUUGAGGAUUUCCAGAAGUCCAUGACUGUUACUUGGCCACACUAGCACAAAGAGGAGAAGAAAGCAGGGAUACCCACAUCCCUUACUAGAACAAGAAGACAGCCACACAGUCACAGGUGGGAUGAUGGAUAAUACAGGAUAUUUGCUGGAUGUGGGCCACUCCAUUCAAUAAACUGUUAAGGAAGCUCAUGAACUUAUUAUUUUGAAAAGACUUCUUCAAUUUCCCUCAUGUAUAUAAAUAGGCUGAUUGUUCGGAGUUGUAAUCAUCAUUUCGCAUCUAACAUGUAUCAAUCACCAGCUGUAUUCACCUGUCACUUCGGUGAGGUACAUAUUGUUUCUACUGUGUAUCAAAUACAUUCAUUUACUCUUCCAUCUCUGGACAUUCCAGUAUAUGAGAUAAAGCAAGAUCCAGUUAUAUGGGCACAUUGAAAAAUAAUACAAGGAAAAGAAAUGAGCAUUCAAUCUUUCUUGAUCACAAAAUGAGUGACGUUGAAAGGGCAGAAAACAGAGUGUCUCAGAGCAGCAUUUUUUGUAAUAGUCAGAACCUGGAAACAACCUAGAUGCCCUUCAAUGGAAGAAUGGAUGAAGAAAGUAUGGAAUAUAUACAUAUUAGAGUACUACUCAGCAGUAAAAAACAAUGACUUCUUGAAUUUUGCAUACAAAUGGAUGGAAAUAGAAAACACUAUCCUGAGUGAGUUCCCGAAUCCUGUCCCAAGCAUUUGAAGCUGCUGUGCUACAUAGGGACAAGUUGUGUUCAUCGUAAAGAGCCUGACCCUGAGGAUCAGAGUAAGCCCCUCACCCAGAAUUUGACUUGGGAAAUCUCAAGUCCUUAUGCUUUUUCUUUUUGCUCUAAAAUUUUUGCUUCUUCUCUCUACUAACACUUCCAAAGUAAGUGAGGACCAUUUUCUAGGACCGAUGAGAUUAACUGAGUCCUGUCUUGUGGCAUUGCUUUGUUGCAUGAAGUCCACGUUUUGACCAUGUCCCUAAUGAAGGAUGAAAGUAUUCCAUAAGAUACAAUUUUUGUUUAAUUUCCUUUAUAUCAGUCAUACGUAUGGACUCCCAUAUAUAUUCUUUGACUAUCUUAGGAUAGGUGCCAGAUGUUCUUUCUGAUGAUAUCAUCAGAAAAGCAAGUAAAUCUCUGGGUAAGCUAUUAGGAGUUCGGUACAUACUGAUGAGGCUAAAUUUUGUCUUUGUACCUUUGCCUUUGCUCAUCAAAUUUGAUAAAUUUCUCAAUCUUUUCAAAUUUUUUUACCCCUGCCUUUUGUAGAGUUUGGAUCUCCUGUCCAGUGUUUUGUUCUAAUGCCCUCAUUGAGGAUUCCCAGGUUAGAUGUCUGGACAGUAAAAGUAAUGUCUCAUCCUUGGAUAUAAUUAUUGUAGCAUGCAUAUUGCCUUCCUGGAGAGACAUACUAUCAGUCAAUCUACCAUAACUCUUUGACAGAGUCUGGUCAAUACAUUCAACAAUAUAAAUUCUCUCAGACAUUGUCUCAGCACCCUCUGUCAUUGUCUGGCUUUAGUUUUGUCAAAUUGGUGGUAUCAUUCUCCUGAGUGCUGAAUUUCUAUUUUAGUUGAUCAUUAUCAGUCUGUAAAGAGUUCUAAAUGUGCCUCAUUUGACUGGGUUUUGAUUGUCAACUUGGAUGUAUCCUUCUCCAGAGUGUUGAAUUUUUCUUGUAGUUGGUCAUUAUCAGUCUGUAAAUACUGUAUUAUUUUUAAAAAUGCCUCAUUCUUGGCCCUAUUAUAAAACCAUGCUUUUAAAGAGAAAAAAGCAAGGACAAAGCUAAUCUUCAGAUUUAAGUAGAGAGAUAUAGAAGGGAAAUUGUUUGAGUCUUGCAUAACAUCAUACGUGAUAUAAGUAAGAAGGCUAUUGAGCCUCUGCAUUGUUAAUUGUUAAAAAUAUAAAUAUUCCCUGUGGUUGAUUUCUAACUGGAGUUAGUACAAUAACCAUUACCUGCCAGUAGGUGUCAUGACACACUUGCAGCUGUGUGGUUAGUUUUAAUCUGAUUAUAUUAUUAAAAGCUAAAAUAUACUCUCAGAUUAAAAACAGUUAUGUAGUGUAAAUAACAGACUGUAUGCUUCACAGAAGUCCAUGACUGGUACGUGGCCACACUCGCAAAAAGAGGGGAAGAAAGCAGGGAAGACCGCAUCCCUUACUGGACCAAGAAGCCAGCCACAGAGUCAUGAGUUGCCAAGGCUCUCUGAGAUGUUUAAUGAGAAAAUAUGAAGGACAGCCAGGCAGGAAUUCUAUACUCAAAUGAAUGGUGUGGACCUGAUGGCAGCUGGCUAGAGCCACUGGAGACCUG